rnacentral:rRNA from 1 species
UACGAAGGGGGCUAGCGUUGCUCGGAAUCACUGGGCUUAAAGCGUGUGUAGGCGGACUUCUAAGUACCUUGUGAAAUCCCACGGCUCACCCGUGGAACUGCUGGGUAUACUGGUCGUCUUGAGCCUUCUAGGGGCUACCGGAACAAAUGGUGGAGCGGUGAAAUGCGUAGAUAUCAUUUGGAACGCCAAUGGUGAAAACAGGUAGCUGGGGAAGUGCUGACGCUGAGACACGAAAGCCAGGGGAGCGAACGGG